GUGUCAGCCGCCGCGGUAAUACGAGAGGCCCAAACGUUAUUCGGAUUUACUGGGCUUAAAGAGUUCGUAGGCGGUCCAUCAAGUGGGGUGUGAAAUCCCUCGGCUCAACCGAGGAAUUGCGCUCCAAACUGUUGGGCUCGAGGGAGAUAGAGGUGAGCGGAACUGAUGGUGGAGCGGUGAAAUGCGUUGAUAUCAUCAGGAACACCAGAGGCGAAGGCGGCUCACUGGGUCUCUUCUGACGCUGAGGAACGAAAGCUAGGGGAGCAAACGGGAUUAGAAACCCCCGUAGUCC
rnacentral:rRNA from 1 species